GCCUGGGUGGCUCAGUUGGUUAAGCAUCUGACUUCAGCUCAGGUCAUGACCUCACGGCUUGUGAGUUCAAGCCCCACGUCCGGCA
rnacentral:tRNA from 1 species